CCUACGGGAGGCAGCAGUGGGGAAUCUUGCACAAUGGAGGAAACUCUGAUGCAGCGAUGCCGCGUGAGUGAAGAAGGCCUUUGGGUUGUAAAGCUCCUUUGUAGGGGAAGAUAAUGACUGUACCCUAAGAAUAAGGUCCGGCUAACUUCGUGCCAGCAGCCGCGGUAAUACGAAGGGACCUAGCGUAGUUCGGAAUUACUGGGCGUAAAGCGCGCGUAGGCCGUUGAGUUAGUUAAUUGUGAAAUCCCAAAGCUUAACUUUGGAACUGCAAUUAAAACUGCUCGACUAGAGUUUGAUAGAGGAAAGCGGAAUACAUAGUGUAGAGGUGAAAUUCGUAGAUAUUAUGUAGAACACCAGUUGCGAAGGCGGCUUUCUGGAUCAACACUGACGCUGAGGCGCGAAAGUAUGGGUAGCAAAGAGGAUUAGAUACCCUCGUAGUCCAUACCAUAAACGAUGAUUGCUAGAUGUUGGAAAUUUAUUUUCAGUAUCGCAGCUACGCAUAAGUACAACUACCGCCGUCGGGUAGGUACGGACCGACCGAACGGUUAAAACGUUAAAACGGUAAAGUUAGUACGGCGUGAGACGUGCCGACGGACGACGACGAGGGAGGUAGG
rnacentral:rRNA from 1 species